AACACCAAAAACUCCUGCACAAAACCUAUUAAGCACAUAACAAAAAGGAAGAGUCAUUGUUACUUCGACUCCUGAGACGGCCGGCCGGCCGGCAGAUCUCCAGGACAGCACUCGUUUCUCCUGACGGUGUUCCUCGCCGAGACUCCAGGUAACUAAACCGUCUCCCAGCGCACAUCAUCCGCCUCCGCUCCUUUCUGUCCCACACCAUCCGCCUCUGUCCCAAACCUAGCAACCCUAGCGCCAUCACCUCCUCCUUGCCUGGCCAACGAUGUACGCCUGCCGCCGUCUCUCCCGCUGUCCCAGCGCCUCCCAGCACCAGCGCCUGGCCAACCCGCCCGGCGGCAUCUGGUUCAUUGCGAAACUAACAGAUUAGGGCUGCGUGCAGGUUCUGGGAACAUGACGACAGAUUUUGAACCACUAUAACGGAAACUCAAGAUAGUACUACUACAAUGGUUCUGCCUGUUAUGUGAAUCAGAGUCUCCAAUCAUAUUCUCCUCCUACCUGAUGAUUCCCAUAAUCAUUUUUGUGUUAUUCAUUUUUAGCUAAAGCAUAUUCAUUCUGCAGAAGUUCUUUCCUUUUUUUUCCCUUGACCCUCAUAAGACGUUCUGGUGUUAGCAUGUGCUGUUAGUAGCCACAAGAGACGGCCCUCAUGGAUGGCUGGUGAGAGUUGGAUUUUAGUUUUUCAUUGCGAGGGGGCACCUGCAGGACAAGAAUUCAUCGAGAAGGAGAUGAAUAGGGCUGAUAUCUCCUUUUAUAACUUGAUUUGUUUGAAAAGAAAACUUAAGUAAUCAGGGAGGGACUACUUAUACUAUAAGAAACGAUGUGGGAGGGAUGUGGUCCUCGUGGUCUCUCACAUCCUCAAAAAAGGAGGUUGCAAAGGUUGCGCAUGCAAGAAUUGAGAGAGGUUGAAGCUGAGGAUGCAAGGGAUGCAAUUUUCAAUGACAUCAAGCAUGUGGUAUCUGGUAGGAAAGAAUGGAGAAUAAAACAAGUUGUGGUGCUAGCUUCUGUACCUAGUGAUGUUGAAGAUGAUAUGCUAGAUGUGAGUUCUCCGAUAAUUAAGGAUGGUUCUCCUCCUCUGAAUGAUAUGGAUAUUAAUAUGGCGUUUACAUUGCCUUCGGAGUUUCAGUUGCUGGCGGGGAAGUUGCCCAAUUAUGCUUUAGCCCUCAAGAAGCUAUUUUUGAGAAGCCCGAAGAAUCGAGUCGACAUUUGAAACCAUAAUAUGUUAAUAGGCAUAUCAAUAGUAGGCUGAUUUCGAGGAUGUUAGUUGAUGGUGGGGCUGCCAUGAACUUGAUGUCAUAUUCGGUUUUCAAGAAAUUGAGGUGGGAGGACAGUGAGCUUAUGAAGACUAAUUCGAUGAUUAAUGGUUUCACGGGUGAGCCUAUGGACGCUAAGGGUGUUAUCUCUAUGGUGCUUAGUGUUGGGAGCACAACUCUACCGACGGCCUUCUUCUUCCUUGACACGCAAGGAUCCACUUGGUGUUGUCCUAGAGGUAUACCUUGAUGAUCUAAUUGUUAAAUCGGAUGGUGGCCGUAUUCGAUAGCGGACUCUGAGCAGCGAUGGGAUCUAGGUGCAGUGAAGAAGCGCUUGGAUCUGUCUGUGCUCGCAGGAUCUAUUGAGGAGGCAGUUGGAUAUGCAUUGUACCCUUCCACGUCAAGCUCAUCGUGCUUACUAGAUCCAUGGAGAAGGCAGUCGGAUUUGUAUUGUGCUACUCCUCCAGGUCGCGUUGUGCUCGUCCACCCCAGCGAACUCAUCCACGGUACGUGCAUCCACCACGGCAAGGUCAUCCACAACGUGAUCAUUUUCCAUGACGAGUCACAGCAUGGUCAUCAACCGUGGCAAGCACCACGACGAGGUUGUCCACGACACUGGUAACGUCCAAAUCUGGUCAUGCACGGCUAUGAAGCUGUAGAUUGGGAUCGGAGCUUUUUCUGCUAAUUGCGAUCUGCUGCUGUAGAUUGGGGUCGACGUUGUUGUUGCUACUUGCAAACUACUGCUAUCCUUGCGAUCUGUUUCUAAUUGCAAUCUUCCUCGGUGGUUGCUGGUGUUGCUAUUGUAUGGUUUGUUGUCAUUUUGGCUGUAAUUAGUGUAAUGAUUACUCCUUAUAUUGGUUUGCUUUCAUUUCACAAAUGUAUACAA